CAAUAAGCACAUUGGUUAUUUAAUGUAGUUAUAUACUAUGGAAAAUCAGCUGUGACCUGAGACUCCUGACCCUGACUGACCCUGAGACGUCACCAACAUCACUCGUUACGCUGAGUCCGUCAGGCUCGAUGUCUGACAAGAGAAGAUCAUAUUUUUCUGGACGUGUAAAAAGACAUCAGAAGAGCCUCUAAGAAGAGAGGAGGCAAGAAGAUAAAGGUCUACCUGUGGCUACUGAAGUGGAGAGCAGUACCAUCGUGGUACCAGCACACCUGUCUCUCCAGUUUCUGCUGCUCCAGUGGAUCCAGCUGACUGGACAUCAGGACUUAACGACCAGUUACACGUUGAUGUGGUGAGCGGUAAAACCAGCACAGGUUGACAGAGACAUUUAGACUUUUCCAAAAAGACACUCAGACAGUAAAAGUCUUUUCUAUCAUUACAUGUUUAGAUCACUCAUAAAGAAGCAGGUUGAGAAAAUGAUGCUGUCAGCUGUUUCCUAGUUUUUGUCUCUUAAACUCUUGUUUGGCUGUUAUUAAAGAUUUAAGCUUUGGUCAUAAUCA